AACGAACGCUGGCGGCAUGCCUAACACAUGCAAGUCGAACGAUGCUUUCGGGCAUAGUGGCGCACGGGUGCGUAACGCGUGGGAAUCUGCCCUGGGGUUCGGGAUAACAGCGGGAAACUGCUGCUAAUACCGGAUGAUAUCGCGAGAUCAAAGAUUUAUCGCCCUGGGAUGAGCCCGCGUCGGAUUAGGUAGUUGGUGGGGUAAGAGCCUACCAAGCCGACGAUCCGUAGCUGGUCUGAGAGGAUGAUCAGCCACACUGGGACUGAGACACGGCCCAGACUCCUACGGGAGGCAGCAGUGGGGAAUAUUGGACAGUGGGCGCAAGCCUGAUCCAGCAAUGCCGCGUGAGUGAUGAAGGCCUUAGGGUUGUAAAGCUCUUUUACCCGGGAUGAUAAUGACAGUACCGGGAGAAUAAGCCACGGCUAACUCCGUG
rnacentral:rRNA from 1 species